rnacentral:lncRNA from 1 species
GUGCGCAUGUGCGGGGAGGUGAGGGGGCUUGGGGGGCCUCGCCUGAGAGAGUGAGUCAACGAAAUGGAGAUACAGGGUAUUACAAAAGGUGCCUUGUACCUCGUCCAAGGACACAGAGCUGGUAGGAGGCAGAGCUGGAAUUUGCCCCAGAGCCUUUGUGCCGUAGGACAGGCUGCGGGAGGAGCUGCAGGACUGAGGUACAGAGGCCAGGGGCCCAGGGCAGGACCCAGCCUGGACUUGACUCCCUGGGAUCCCAGGAAGGGCACACCCUUUCCUCACCACCCGAGUGAGCGCUGCCCCCUCACAGAGACCUCUUUGCCCCCUGGGCCAGGCAGAGCAGGCGCUGCGGUCCGGGAGGCCCCAUGGAGGUGGCGGUGCCCGUGAAGCAGGAGGCCGAGGGCCUGGCGCUGGACUCCCCGUGGCACCGCUUCCGCCGCUUCCACCUGGGCGACGCGCCGGGCCCGCGGGAGGCGCUGGGGCUGCUCCGCGCCCUGUGCCGGGACUGGCUGCGGCCCGAGGUGCACACCAAGGAGCAGAUGUUGGAGCUGCUGGUGCUGGAACAGUUCCUGAGCGC